AAGUGCCACCAAUCCAAGCUGCAAAAUUUGACUUGACAAAUAUUUAUGUUCUUUAGUUCUGGGCAAAUGGCCAUAGAAGACUGCCCUAGACUGAUAAGGCCCAUUUUGUGUGGACUUCAACCUGAGAAUAAGACCAGCGCUCAGACAGUGUGAACAUGGAAAGUGAUGCUGUGUAUAGAAGAAGAUUGAUGAUGAAGUAUUAAAGGUUCAGUAUGGAAGUCAAUCUAACUGAUGAAAAGGAUGAACAGAAUUCAAGGUAUAUUUUAUAGUAUCUUUUUUAAAGAGACUCUUCCACAGCUCUUUAACCCUUACCCUGCUAAAAUUCUGUAAUGAACUUGCCCAACUUCCCAUUAACUGCUAAAAGAGGUGCUUACCCCAAAAAUACUGACUGUAUUGCAAACAGUGCAGAUCAUGAUCAGACUGCAUUGAUGUGUAGGCUGAUCAUUUAUUUAUUUGGGUUUUACGGCGCACCAACACAGUAUAGGUUAUAUAGCGCCAAACAGGACUACAAAUUUUGGUUCCACAUCUCAUUUACAUCGAAAUAAAAACAGGAGGUAUGGAAGCAGGCUGAUCAUAAUCUACACUGGUCGCAAAGGCAGAAUCAGUCAUCUUUAGCAUGAUAAGGGUUAAGGUGUUCACCAUUUUAUGUGCAGAAGUGGAUUUUGGUAUUAUUACUUACUGAUGAUUGAAUGGCAGUCAUAUUGAAUCCUCCUUUAAGAAAUUUUAAGUCUUACAGCCAUACAGUGAGAAAACUAGCCCUGUCCCUAUUUCAUGCAGCUAAAUAAAAUCUUAAUGCCUAAAAAUUAACAGGGACAUUUUUGUUCCAAAUGGUUAGCUGUUUUUAAAUAAAAACAAAUUUUCAUACUUCUUGUGUGUAAAAAAUGUGAAUGUGUUAUAAUACUCAUUUUUGUCAUUGAGUGCAGAUAUAAAAUAUUGUGGAGUUCCUAUAGUGGACGCAACUUGACCCCGAUGGUUGACCUUUGCAUUAUAAUACAUAAUAAGGCACAACCUAUUAUUUAAAAGGAGUGUACGUAAAACACGAGCUCCACAAGAAAAAGGAAAUAUAAUUUUGUGUAAAUAUAAAUUAGUGUAUUGGA